rnacentral:rRNA from 1 species
UACGGGGGGAGCAAGCGUUGUUCGGAUUUACUGGGCGUAAAGGGCGCGUAGGCGGUCAGCACAAGUCAGUUGUGAAAUCUCCGAGCUUAACUCGGAAAGGUCAACUGAUACUGUGCGACUAGAGUGCGGAAGGGGCAACUGGAAUUCUUGGUGUAGCGGUGAAAUGCGUAGAUAUCUGGAGGAACACCGGUGGCGAAGGCGGCAUCCUGGACCGGUAUUGACGCUGAGGCGCGAAAGCCAGGGGAGCAAACGGG